UUCCCCACCGAAAAUGGCAGCAAACAAGGGGGUUUUAAGAGCUUAAGCUUUCAGCCACUUAGUUCUCUUGUAAGUAAGUGAUUUUGAUGACUUUUCUUGAUGAUUUUUACACUUUUGGGACCCUUGUAGUAUGAACUAGCUAAUGGGGGGACUAUUUUACAAAAUUGUUGAAAGUCUAGGGUUUUUCCAUGAGAUAAUUUAUGUUUUUCUGAAUUUUUAUGGAAGAAAAUAAGUCUUGCUUGUGUAAUAAACAACUUUUGUGAAAGAGGUUUGCAUGAAAACACCUAAAAAGGGCUAUUUUGUAAAGUUAUAAAACAAGUUGUAAAUGUGUGAAAUAAUUAAAAUUGUGAGUUGCUAUAGUUAUAAAAAGAAUUUGGCUAGGCUUGGUAAAGGAAGAAAUUCGAUAAAAAUCGAUUUAUGAGCCUAAGGGAAAAAUCAUAAUUUUUGUAAAGUCUAAGGGCAAAACGGUUAUUUUGCUAAAUUUUGAAUUAUAGGAUGUUUUAAUUAAUGUAAUGAUUAAAUGAGUGAAUUUAAUCAUGUUAGAUCAAGGAAAUCGAGAUUUGGGCUUAAAUCGAAAAGUACGAGAUUAUGGACUAAAAUGGAGUAAUUGGUCGAAAUUUACAUUCGAGGUAAGUUCGUAUGAUAAUAAUAGUGCAAUGCUAUGUUUGAAUUAUUAUUCUUUACUAUGUUGCAUAUAUUAUAUGAUUUAAUAUAUAUAUAUUGGAAAAGUUGAUGAAAUGGUGUAUAUGAUGUGGAAAUAUGACAUGGAAGAAUAUUACAUGAAAUACAAGAAAAUGAUGAUCCAUGACAAGUGAUAUAUGCAAUAUGUGAUAUAUGUUAUGUAAAUUCUUAAAAGCUUAUUUUCUAUUUGAGUUAUGCUUUAUUAUGCUAUGAAAGGACAAUUGAUACUAUGGAUAGUGAGAUCGACACUUCGAGUAAGUUCGACAGAGAUGGAGUAUCGAAAAAUCCCUUCUGAACCUUAGGAAUAGUCUAGGGUACAAGUGACAAGUCACUAGGAAUUAAGAAAUCUGAACUUGUUGAGUUAGUCCAAGUUCGUGAUAUAUAUGAAGCAUCUGAGCUCGUUGAAGGUCCGAGUUCAUUAUGGAUGUGAGCAUCCGAACUCGUUGAAUUGGUCUGAGUUCAUAAUGGAUGCGAUACAUGUAAUUGGGUUCCGGGCAAUGGUCUUAUGUGCCUUGUUGGUGGCUAGGUAAUCCUUGAGUUGGUCGGAUACCUGAUAGCUUAUGUGAGUAGCCCGUGUAGCUACACCUUGACUGAUAGCUUCUAUAAGCAAACCCGUGAGUAGCUCCAUUGUGAGCGUUACAUGUUAUGAGUAGCUUUGGCUACAUAUGUAUAUGUGCAAGUUUUUCGUGUAUCUAAUAGUAUUCCGAGGGUUCAACGGGUAAUGCAAUAGAUGUGAUCCUGGGGAGGGCAUGUUAAAGAGGUAUGGUUAUAUGAUAUAUUACGAUGAGUACAAGUAUGUACACUAAGCUUAUGGUUAUUGAGACUUUGAAAUGUUGAGACAUCGGUGAGCUAAGAUGUAUGAAUUAUGAUUAUAAAUUUUGUUGCAGUAUCAUGUUAACUUAUAUUGUGCAUUUGAACAUGGAAUUCAUGAAAUGGUGAGUUCAUGAUUAGUUGAAAGUGAACUUACGAUAGUUAUCAUUAUAUUGCACUAAAACAGUGUUGAACAACAAUAGUUGUAUGAUUUUGAAAAUCCACCAAAAAUUAUGGAAAUUGAGUUAGAGGCUGAAUAAAUAUGAAAUUAAAUCUCAAUGAGUCUAGUUUCACAUAGAAGAAACGAUGUAAGCAAAAGAGUUUCAUAUUAUGAAAUAUUUAAAUUUUUGUGAGAUUGAGUUAGAAUGAUUUCGAAAUCCCCUAUUCUGAUUUGAGAAAAUUAUUGGAAAUUGUAAAAAAAUAUUUAUGGGUUAUAAUUUAUAUGCUUAGAAUUAUUAAUGAGUCGAUUUUUAAAAUAAAUAGACAGGAAUGUCAUUUGAGUCCCGUAUUAUGAGAUAAUUAAUUUUUAGUGAAGAGGGGUCGGAACUAUUAGACAGCAAAAAAAGGGUAAUUUUAAGGAAUAAACUAUACUUAUUGGCUAGACCAAAAAUUUUGAAAAUUCUAUGGUAGAAAUAUAUGUGAGUCUAGUUUCAAAAAACAAUUUCGGAUCUUAAAUUGGAGUUCCGUAGCUCCAGAUAUAAAUAAUUUAGUAACUAUGACUCGAGAAAACAACUUGACUAGAACAUAAGUAAAAAUGCAAAUAUGGUUGUAUUACCUUGAGAAGCAAGUUGAUAAAUUUCUUAUUAUUUUCAUACGGUCUUCCUCAGCUAUAAAGCUUACCCUCUCCUUUUCAUUUCUUUAGUGUUGUCAAGUUAGCUCGGGGUUGGAGAUCGUCGGAGGCAGAUCACACUAUCAAGCCAUCACCUUUAGAGUAUUGACAUAUGUGUAUUAAGCACCUUCAAGUGAGUGACAUGUAUAGGGACUUAGUUUUUAUGAUAGAUGUUGUUAUGAUUAACCAAAUGUAUUGACUUAUAUUGAUUCAUUGUAUAUAGCCAUGAGAUGUGGCUUAUAAUGAUUGUGGUUUGUAAGCCUAGUUAUUCAUGAUAAGUUCUACUGCUUGCGAUGCGAUGAUGUUUUCUAUGCUUGUGGGACAUACAUGACUGGUGUUAAGAAAUGUGUGCAUGAUAAAUGCUUCAUGACCAAUCAAAAUGGUUAUAGUCAUGAAGUAAUUGUAUGGUAUAUAAAUAAGACAAUGAUGAUUGAACAUGAAUGCUUAAUGUUUAAAUAAGGUCACUUGACAAGGUCAAUGAAUA
rnacentral:lncRNA from 1 species